rnacentral:rRNA from 1 species
AUUGAACGCUGGCGGCAGGCCUAACACAUGCAAGUCGAACGAGUGGCGGACGGGUGAGUAAUGUCUGGGAAACUGCCCGAGGGAGGGGGACCACUACUGGAAACGGUAGCUACUACCGCAUCCCAUCCGAUGUGCCCAGAUGGGAUUAGCUUGGAGGUGGGGUAAUGGCUCACCUAGGCGACGAUCCCUAGCUGGUCUGAGAGGAUGACCAGCCACACUGGAACUGAGACACGGUGCAGACUCCUACGGGAGGAAGCAGUGGGGAAGAUUGCACAAUUGGCGCAAGCCGGAUGCAGCCAUGCCGCGUGUAUGAAGAAGGCCUUCGGGAUGUAAAGUACUUUCAGCGAGGAGGCGAUACUCGCAGAAGAAGCACCAGCUAACUCCGUGCCAGCAGCCGCGGUAAUUC